AUUCACCUGAGUACACUACACCAACACAGAAAAAAAAAAUUCAUAUUACUAGAAUACAUUGGUAUCGAAGGAACUAGAUUCUGUUCCGAAAUAUCACUUACUCGAACCGUCCUGACCGUGUAGCUCAGUUGGAAGAGCAUUGGGCUAGUAUUCCAAAGGUUGUUGGUUCGAAUCCCACCGUGGCCGGGCAUAUUUUUCAAGCUCGCCCGGUGUGGAUGUACACUCAGAGUAACACCACAAAUAUCAUAUUCACCUGAGUACACUACACCAACACAGAAAAAAAAAUUCAUAUUACUAGAAUACAUUGGUAUCGAAGGAACCAGAUUCUGUUCCGAAAUAUCACUUACUCGAACCGUCCUGACCGCGUAGCUCAGUUGGAAGAGCAUUGGGCUAGUAUUCCAAAGGUCGUAGGUUCGAAUCCCACCGUGGCCGGGCAUAUUUUCCAAGCUCGCCCGGUGUGGAUAUACACUCAGAGUAACACCACAAAUAUCAUAUUCACCUGAGUACACUACACCAACACAGAAAAAAAAAGAAAAAGUAAUAUAUUACAAGAA